rnacentral:rRNA from 1 species
GAAUUUCUGGUGUAGCGGUGAAAUGCGUAGAGAUCAGAAGGAACACCAAUGGCGAAGGCAACAUUCUGGACCGAUACUGACACUGAGGGACGAAAGCGUGGGGAUCAAACAGGAUUAGAUACCCUGGUAGUCCACGCUGUAAACGAUGAGUACUAGCUGUUGGAGUCGGUGUAAAGGCUCUAGUGGCGCAGCUAACGCGAUAAGUACUCCGCCUGGGGAACUACGGCCGCAAGGCUAAAACUCAAAGGAAUUGACGGGGACCCGCACAAGCGGUGGAGCAUGUGGUUUAAUUCGAUGCAACGCGAAGAACCUUACCUGGUCUUGACAUCCUGCGAGCUUUCUAGAGAUAGAUUGGUGCCUUCGGGAACGCAGUGACAGGUGCUGCAUGGCUGUCGUCAGCUCGUGUUGUGAAAUGUUGGGUUAAGUCCCGCAACGAGCGCAACCCCUAUUGAUAUUUACCAUCAUUAAGUUGGGUACUCUAUUGACACUGCCGCUGACAAGGCGGAGGAAGGUGGGGACGACGUCAAGUCAUCAUGGCCCUUACGACCAGGGCUACACACGUGCUACAAUGGGUAUUACAGAGGGCUGCGAAGGAGCAAUCUGGAGCGAAACUCAAAAAAGUACUCUUAGUCCGGAUUGCAGUCUGCAACUCGACUGCAUGAAGUCGGAAUCGCUAGUAAUCGCAGGUCAGAAUACUGCGGUGAAUACUUUCCCGGGUCUUGUACACACCGCCCGUCACACCAUGGGAGU